rnacentral:tmRNA from 1 species
GGGGCUGUAAUGGAUUUCGACAGGUUUAUGUUUGAUUCAGGCUGCAGUGGAGCGGUGACCUUAUCACCACCUAAAUUUAAACGCUAACAGAAACACAAGUUUCGCUUUCGCUGCUUAAGUUACGCAAUAGGCGUCGCAGCGUCCCGGCCGUGCUUUAGCCGUUAUGCACCGGCUGCGUAAUUGAAACGGAUAAGGUGAACCCGAAGUCUGUACGGGGAUCCCGACAAUCUCACAGGCAAAUUCAGCAGAUGGUUGGCUCACUGACAUGUCUGCUGUCUUAUCAACCAGUGAACUAAACUGUAGACGCCGGAAUGUGGGACAACUCUUGGACAGGGGUUCGACUCCCCUCAGCUCCAC